CGCGACUACACUGCCAAAUAUUAGUCGGCCGCGAACAAAUGUUUACUCGCUGAUGUUAAUCCAGGUUGUUUCAUACCAAGAGUUGGGAUAUAUUGUUGGCAUCACUGUCCAUUAGCCUGUUGUGAAAUUCGGCGGAAUGGAUUACAUGUGUAACGAGAGAUUAGAAUUUGUUUGGAUUCCAUACUAUCUAAUUUAAAAUGACGCCAGGCUAUAUCAAGUCUCUUAUUGGAGAUACACAUGUACGUGACAAAAAUGUGUUCAAGGAAUAUUUCUGAAAGGAAUCUAGCAGACCCAGAAACGGAAGUAGAACUCUUACCUAGAGGGUGACAAAUUCCAUCCAACCCUCGGACUGGCCGUGGGAUGAAAAGCGGCAAGAGGGACGGAACGGGUGUCGCAUCCGGAAAAUAAAGGAAAGUAGCAGCGGUAAUCCAGAGCGCGGUCUAGGGAUUACCCAGGCUCCUCCAGAUGUUUAUUGAGUUACUGUGCGCACGCGCUACCGUCUCAUCUCAUCUGAUCGCAUUUCGUCUCGACGGUCUCGACUCAUCUGAUCUCCUUGCCCUUUGUUUCAUGUCAUCUAUUUCAAGUCAGUCCAGUUACCCUGGUUCAUCUUCUUGCUUUGAAUGUCAGAGUAACGUGACGCCGAGAAAAGACCUCGAGCUUAGUCAGCAACCACGACAAAAAUCAUUAACAAAUAUUGUGUUAAACAACAAAAUAUGAUCACCACUAGAUAAAAAAAAAGGAUAUGUUCUUAGGGACAUCGAUUACAACCACUAUUCACAGUGAAAUAAUAAUAAAAACCACAAGGUUUAGUCACAAGAUUUGCCACGAUAAUGUCUCACUCUUAAGAGGCUGUUCGAUCGAGAAAGAUGUACUCUCCUCCAGCAAAUUACUUGAAUCACGCGAAGAACUAGGCGUGGGAUGAUGAGUGGCUCCCAGAAAAAGGGAGGAACCUGAAGACUGGAGCAACGUUACCAGUAAGUGCUUUACGUUCCCGGUAGAUGGCGAAGAAGAAGUAGCUAAGAAUGUGAAGUAGGGUGAUAUUACCGAGGCCUCUAAGCGGCGGGAUUAAGUGCUACGUAAAUUCUUCCGCCCUGCUCGCUUUUACGGAUAAAGAAUCGCCGCUCCGUUAAACGCCAUCGUCUUAUACCUUGGGAAAGUGAUAGUCAAACCCUUGGAAAUAGGAUCUUUACGAGAGCAGAUGUUUAUCCUUUAUGCUACUAUUGAACGAUAAUGGAUGUGCCUAAUUAUUGUUAGUGCUAUAAUGAUAAUGGGUGGAUAUUUGCAAUGGGAAAAAUUGGUUUAGCGUUAUGAUAUGUUAGGUAUUUUAAUAUUUCUUUUUUACCUUGCUUAUUAAUGCAAUGAUGAAAGGAUUAGUUGAUAUCUUUGCUUUUAUAUGGGAAUGAUUAUUAUCUGGGAAGGUAUGAGUUUCAUUGAGUAUUAGAGGCGGCGAUACUAUUACAGUGUUCAGAGGGGGAGGCGACCACUUCUCCACUUUUGAAAUCCUUUUGACCCUCUUCUAUAAGACACGCGCCAGUUUGCUUCAGUUUACCUGCCACUGAUGCAAUGGCGUUAACUGUAAGUUAGUUAACUGUAAUCUUUCUGUAGCACGUAAGACUCGUUAAUAAACGGUACCUUAACACUUGAUAAUUAAUAAUAUGAGUUGAAUGAAUC